CUCUAAGCAUAUGCAAACAUAUAAACAUAUUUUAACAUAUGAACAAUGUUCGUGUGCAUAAUCAAGAAAAAAAAAUAAAGCAUGUCUAAAUAUAUGAUUUUUUUCUUCUUGCUAAUCAAUGAUUUUAUAAAGAUAUAUGAUUACGUAGCUAGCAAAAUUUGCAAUGACGUUUUAUCAAAUAAUAUAAACGUUAAAAAUGUAACUAAGUUCAAUAAUAUUGAAACUGUAAAAUCAAGUUAUAAUAAACAUUUAAAACAUUUAAAAAAAACAGAAAAUGAAAUAUACAACAGAACACAACAAGAAUAUAAUGAGAAUAUUGAAAGUACAAACAUAAAUAUUUUGAACAACCAUUUUUACAAUCAGUUUGAACAAAAUUAUUUAAAAUUUACGAAAGCAUAUUCUCGAAAAAAAAAAAAAAAUCAUAAAAGUAACGAUAAAAAUGAUAUAAAGUGCCAAUCAUUUGUUUAUCACAACUCGCAGCACAAUGAAGAAAAGUUACCAAAAACGCAAAACAAAAAAAACAAAGUUAUGAAAGUGUUUAAAAACGUAACAAAUGGCAACAGCGUAAUAAAUGGCAACAUCGUAAUAAAUGGCAAAAAAGUAACAUGUGGCCAAAACGUAAAACAUAGAAACAGGUUUAACAACGCAACUAAUCGUUUUUUUUCAAACAAAGGAGGACGGGUUUAUAUUUACUCUACAUACCCUAUGCUUUAUAUUAAUCUGUGUACAAAAUAUAUGAAAACAAAAAAAAAAAUAUAUAUAUCUCAGAAAAUAUGAAGAUUUGUAUAAAAAGUUCACACCAGAAUUAGUAGAAGAAAAUGAUGAUACAAAUAACGAACUCAAUCAAAACAAACCAUCAAGUAGCACAUUAAUUGACUGGUGUUUAGAAAAAAAUAAUUUCCAAAAAAAGUAUAAUAUGACUUUAAUGUAUGACCAUAUAUCGAAUUUGCAUAAUAACGAAUAUCAAAAUGUAAAGAGUGUAACUAAUUUUAUAAAAAACAACGAAGUAAUUAAUAAAGAAGAAUGGGAAAAUAAUAAAUGGC
rnacentral:lncRNA from 1 species